CCUACGGGCGGCAGCAGUGAGGAAUAUUUGUCAAUGGGCGCAAGCCUGAACCAGCCAAGUCGCGUGAGGGAAGACGGCCCUACGGGUUGUAAACCUCUUUUGCCGGGGAGCAAGCAUGAGCACGUGUGCCCAGGAGGAGAGUACCCGGAGAAAAAGCAUCGGCUAACUCCGUGCCAGCAGCCGCGGUAAUACGGAGGAUGCGAUCGUUAUCCGGAUUUAUUGGGUUUAAAGGGUGCGUAGGCGGAUUGAUAAGUUAGAGGUGAAAUGUCCGAGCUUAACUCGGGAACUGCCUCUAAUACUGUUGAUCUAGUGAGUAGAUGCGGUAGGCGGAAUGUAUGGUGUAGCGGUGAAAUGCUUAGAGAUCAUACAGAACACCGAUUGCGAAGGCAGCUUACCAAUCUAUAUCUGACGUUGAGGCACGAAAGCGUGGGGAGCAAACAGGAUUAGAUACCCCAGUAGUC
rnacentral:rRNA from 1 species